rnacentral:rRNA from 1 species
UACGAAGGGGGCUAGCGUUGCUCGGAAUCACUGGGCGUAAAGCGCGCGUAGGCGGAUUGUUAAGUCAGGGGUGAAAUCCUGGAGCUCAACUCCAGAACUGCCUUUGAUACUGGCGAUCUUGAGUCCGGGAGAGGUGAGUGGAACUGCGAGUGUAGAGGUGAAAUUCGUAGAUAUUCGCAAGAACACCAGUGGCGAAGGCGGCUCACUGGCCCGGUACUGACGCUGAGGUGCGAAAGCGUGGGGAGCAAACAGG